AACUCUUCGCAUGAGGUGGCCAAAGUACUGGAGCUUCAGCUUUAGCAUAUAGGUAUAGUAAGAUCUUAUUCAUCCAAAAUUCAACUACAGCUUCACCUCUCCUUUCUAGAUUCGAGCUAUGAUCAGGAAAUGGAAAAAUAAGCCAUCAAGCAGGCAAAUUAGAUGUCUGAGUCCAUAUACGAAAUAAAACUGAGGCACGUCACUCACCAGAAGUCUAUUGGGAUUCCUUCAUUCCAUCAGUUUAAUGUAUUUCGUCAAGAUAAUUAUAUCAAGCUUGAUAAUAUGCUUUACUCAUGGCAAAUCAAUAGAAAGGGACAGGGUCUACUGAAAGCCCUGAGAUUGUUAGCUUACAUUCCAAGAGGCAUGUUGAAAGGAAAAGCUCUACAAAGCUAAUCUCAGGACCUAAGACCACAACAUACUGGUUCAUUCUGUGCAGGGACAAACCUCAGAGAUCAAAUCUUUGUGAUGAUGAGCUUCUAAUGGUGGUCAUGAGGGACCAAAUCACAUUCAGGUACUCUUAGCAGGAUCUGCUGAGACUGGUUUUCAUACUUGCAGUUUAAGUGAAAUAGAAAAGCUUUUGACAAUAAAGAGUUUAAAAGUUAGGCUCUUUGGAAAAUGAGAUGGCAGAUUUCAUAUUGAUGGUGUUUGGAGAAUAUUAUUUAAAAAUGCUUAUUCUGUCAUCAGAAUGGCAUAAUAACUGGUCAGGGAUUCCUUUUUCUAAUGAACACAAGAAAAUCCCAACACAAAUUCUCAACAAAUGAAAACGUUCACAUCUAAAAUUCACAGUGGCUGGGUUUCCCUGGUGGCUCAGCUGGUAAAGAGUCUGCCUGCAUUGUGGGAGACCUGGGUAUGAUCCUUGGGUUGGGAAGAUCCUCUGGAGAAGGGAAUGGCUACCCACUAUGGUAUUCUGGCCUGGAGAAUUCCAUGGACCUUAAAGUCCAUGGGGUAGCAGAGAAUCGGACGCAAUAGAGCGACUCUCACGCAAAAAUGAGACAAGAUCAAUAUUCUAGCACAGUAAAACAGUCACAUAAUAUGUGACAGCCCAGAAGAAAUUCUCAUUUCUUUGUAAUGGAAUGACUUCAAAAAUCAUGAAAGAGUGUAAGGAAUGGAAACCUGUGAGCAAAGAUAUGAGAGGAGUUGUAGCAGUCAUGAAACCGGGGCAGGUUAGAGAUAAGAAGCAGAAACAUAAUUAUUAACUAUCAUAGGGCAAUUAAGAAUAUUACUGGCAUACUCUUUGACCUAACUAUCCAUUUCUAAGAAUUGCUGUUUUAGAUAUACUUAAACAAGGGUGCAGACAUAUGGUCACAAAGAUAUGUGUACCCUUGUUGGAAACAUACUUAUCCUUUGCUUUGGAAUAAUGAAUCUAGGAUAACUCGGCUAGUAACUGAAAAGGGGCUUUACAUAAGUUAUGCUUUACAGUAACUUUCAAUAUGCAAUACAAUAAAAUUGUAUACAAUACAAUAUAUACAAUAAAAUAAAAUUAUACAAUAA
rnacentral:lncRNA from 1 species